AGAGCUGUACACACUUAGGCCACAUGAAUGGUUGACAGGGGAGGUUAUUGAGGGCCUGCUCCAUGUUUUGCCCACAAAUUCAGUAUGAUGGACACCAUUUAUUUAAUGAGCCACUAUACAGCAGGUUGCAUUCUGUUUGGUGACAGGAAAAAUCUGCAGCAGCAAAGUUUACGAAAGGUGAACUUCAGCAACUUCGGAGCUGUUCUAUCAUUAGUGCUGGUCAACAAUAACCACUGGAACUUGCUGAUGGCAGAAGGCCUGAUGAAGGCUUUCCCAGAAAUCCCUGCGAUGGAUUUCAACACAACAAAAAAAAGAAAUGAAGAAGGAGAGGAGAGAUCUGGCUCUUAGCAUCCUAGAUGCCUCUGUCUUUGAUGAACACAAUUAUUGUGCAAUGUGUGCCACCUUUAAGCCACCAGGACCAGGAACUGCCAUUAUACAAUGGAUACAAUGUGAUGACUGCGACAGGUGGUUCCAUAGCACAUGUCUGUCCAUGGAAAGCGAGGACAUAGAGGAUGCCAAGAACAAAACAUGGAAAUGUCCCUUAUGCCACUGAAACAAGGGACAUGAUUCAAGAAGAUUAACCCAUAAGAACCCGGACCCAGAAAUCCUUAAAGGAAAAUUAUGGGGGAUAUACCACAGACCAAGUGGACCACAUUUCUGAUGUUUUAAAAAAAAAAAAUACUACCCCUAAGUGUCAAAGAUCUGUAAUGUGACAUAUAUGUCACAUUGGGCGUUUAUGGUAUUUAUGUUUAUGAUAUUUCCUAUUUUUAAAUGA